rnacentral:rRNA from 1 species
AUGGCCUACUUCAGCAAGGCUUUGGGUGUGCGCAAACAAAAGCUGUCCACCUACGAGAAGGAGUUCCUCACCAUGAUGAUGGCCAUCCACAAGUGGCGCCAGUACCUGCAACAUGGCCCCUUCAACAUCAUCACGGACUACAAGUCGCUCUGCAACCUCGGCGAGCAGCACCUGGAGACAGAGCUUCAAUGCAAGGCCAUUGCAAAGCUGGUGGGGCUCCAAUUUCGAUUCUAGUACAGGCGGGGACUGGACAAUGGUGCCGCCGAUGCACUCUCCCGCGUGAGCAAGCAAUUCAAGGUGGCCACGCUCUCGACGUGCCAACCAGCCUGGGUGCAGGAGGUCAUCAACUCCUACACCACCAACGCCGAUGCUCAAGAUCGACUGCAGCAACUCGCCAUCCACAGCCCCGAUGCAGAUGGCUACGAGCUCUACCGCGAUACCAUCAGGCGCCAGGGCCGCCUCUGGAUUGGGGCCAAUUUGGUCCUGCGCACAAAGCUCAUUGCCGCGCUGCACUGCAGUGUUGUGGGCGGCCACUCUAGCACCACCGCCACCUACGAGCGAGUGCGCAAGCACUUCGACUAG